UACGAAGGGGCUAGCGUUGCUCGGAAUCACUGGGCGUAAAGCGCACGUAGGCGGAUUGUUAAGUCAGGGGUGAAAUCCUGGAGCUCAACUCCAGAACUGCCUUGAUACUGGCGAUCUUGAGUCCGGGAGAGGUGAGUGGAACUGCGAGUGUAGAGGUGAAAUUCGUAGAUAUUCGCAAGAACACCAGUGGCGAAGGCGGCUCACUGGCCCGGUACUGACGCUGAGGUGCGAAAGCGUGGGAGCAACAGG
rnacentral:rRNA from 1 species